AACGACAUACAGCCUAAUUCCCGCAAGGGAAACGGGGGAACCACUUUGGGUGAAUUGAUUUCGGCUGCUGCUCCGCAGCUCCUGCGAGAUCAUAGGGAACCUUUCAACCGAACCCCACAGCUAACCUCGUCGGCGCCGGAAGGAGUUUCA
rnacentral:sRNA from 2 species